AGAGUUUGAUCCUGGCUCAGAACGAACGCUGGUGGUAUGCUUAACACAUGCAAGUCGAACGGACACGACCUAACUUGCUAGGUACGGUUAGUGGCGAACGGGUGAGUAAUGCAUAGGAAUCUACCCAGUAGUAAGGAAUAACCCAUGGAAACAUGAGCUAACACCAUAUAAUACUGAUUCAGUAAUCAUUCUGAAUCGGGAAAGACUUCGGUCGCUAUUGGAUGAGCCUAUGUCAGAUUAGUUUGUUGGUGGGGUAAAGGCCUACCAAGACUAUGAUCUGUAGCUGGUCUGAGAGGACGAUCAGCCACACUGGGACUGCGACACGGCCCAGACUCCUACGGGAGGCAGCAGUGAGGAAUUUUGGACAAUGGGCGAAAGCCUGAUCCAGCAAUACCACGUGAGUGAUGAAGGCCUUCGGGUUGUAAAGCUCUUUCAGUAGGGAAGAUAAUGACUGUACCUAAAGAAGAAGCACCGGCUAAUUUCGUGCCAGCAGCCGCGGUAAUACGAAAGGUGCUAGCGUUGUUCGGAUUUAUUGGGCGUAAAGCGUAUGUAGGCGGCUUAGUAUGUUGGGUGUGAAAUCCCAAGGCUCAACCUUGGAAUUGCAUUCAAAGCUGCUUGGCUAGAGGAUAAUAUGGGAUGGCGGAAUUCCUAGUGUAGGGGUGAAAUCUGUAGAUAUUAGGAGGAACACCAAAGGUGAAGACAGCUAUCUAGGUUAUAUCUGACGCUGAGACACGAAAGCGUGGGGAGCAAACAGGAUUAGAUACCCUGGUAUUCCACGCUGUAAACGAUGAGUGCUAGGUGUCUGAACUUAAGUUUGGGUGUCAAAGCUAACGCGUUAAGCACUCCGCCUGGGGACUACGGUCGCAAGACUAAAACUCAAAGGAAUUGACGGGGACCCGCACAAGCGGUGGAGCAUGUGGUUUAAUUCGAUGCUACGCGGAAAACCUUACCAGCUUUUGACAUCCCGAUCGCGGAAUACAGAGAUGAAUUCCUUCAGUUCGGCUGGAUCGGAGACAGGUGUUGCAUGGCUGUCGUCAGCUCGUGUCGUGAGAUGUUAGGUUAAGUCCUUUAACGAGCGCAACCCUCGUCCUUAUUUGCCAUUAGGUUAUACUAGGAACUAUAAGGAUACUGCCGGUGACAAACCGGAGGAAGGUGGGGAUGAUGUCAAGUCAUCAUGGCCCUUAUAGGCUGGGCUACACACAUGCUACAAUGGGAGUCACAACGGGAAGCGAAGGAGUGAUCUGGAGCCAAUCCUUUAAAAGCUCUCUCAGUUCGGAUUGCAGGCUGCAACUCGCCUGCAUGAAGUUGGAAUCGCUAGUAAUCGUGGAUCAGCACGCCACGGUGAAUACGUUCUCGGGUCUUGUACACACUGCACAUCAAGCCAUGGGAGUUCUUUUUGCCUGAAUUAGGUGAGCUAACCCGCAAGGGAGGUAGCCUAAUACGGUGGGGGGAGCGACUGGGGUUAAGUUGUAACAAGGUA
rnacentral:rRNA from 1 species